GACAGAGGAUGCAAGCGUUAUCCGGAAUGAUUGGGCGUAAAGCGUCUGUAGGUGGCUUUUUAAGUCCGCCGUCAAAUCCCAGGGCUCAACUCUGGACAGGCGGUGGAAACUACCAAGCUGGAGUACGGUAGGGGCAGAGGGAAUUUCCGGUGGAGCGGUGAAAUGCGUAGAGAUCGGAAAGAACACCGGUGGCGAAGGCGGUCCGCUGGGGUGUUGCUGACGCUGAGGCGCGACAGCGUGGGGAGCAAACAGG
rnacentral:rRNA from 1 species